GAUGAAGAACGCAGCGAAAUGCGAUACGUAAUGUGAAUUGCAGAAUUCAGUGAAUCAUCGAGUCUUUGAACGCACAUUGCGCCCCCUGGUAUUCCGGGGGGCAUGCCUGUCCGAGCGUCAUUGCUGCCCUCAAGCACGGCUUGUGUGUUGGGCCUCCGUCCUCCUCCCGGGGGACGGGCCUGAAAGGCAGCGGCGGCACCGCGUCCGGUCCUCGAGCGUAUGGGGCUUCGUCACCCGCUCUUGUAGGCCCGGCCGGCGCUUGCCGACACAUCAAUCUUUUUUCCAGGUUGACCUCGGAUCAGGUAGGGAUACCCGCUGAACUUAAGCAUAUCAUAAGCGGAGGA
rnacentral:misc_RNA from 1 species